UACGAAGGGGGCAAGCGUUGUUCGGACUUACUGGGCGUAAAGGGCGCGUAGGCGGUGCACUAAGUCAGGCGUGAAAGCCCUGGGCUCAACCCGGGAAUUGCGUUUGAUACUGGUGCGCUUGAAUCCAGGAGAGGUUGGUGGAAUUCCCAGUGUAGAGGUGAAAGUCGUAGAGAUUGGGAAGAACACCGGUGGCGAAGGCGGCCAACUGGCCCGUAACUGACGCUCAGGCGCGAUAGCGUGGGGAUCAAACAGG
rnacentral:rRNA from 1 species